rnacentral:rRNA from 1 species
ACCUGACUGCUAUCGGAUUGAUACUAAGCCAUGCGAGUCAUUGUAGCAAUACAAGGCAUACGGCUCAGUAACGCGUAGUCAACCUAACCUAUGGACGGGAAUAACCUCGGGAAACUGAGAAUAAUGCCCGAUAGAACACUAUACCUGGAAUGGUUUGUGUUCCAAAUGAUUUAUCGCCAUAGGAUGGGACUGCGGCCUAUCAGUUUGUUGGUGAGGUAAUGGCCCACCAAGACUAUUACAGGUACGGGCUCUGAGAGGAGUAGCCCGGAGAUGGGUACUGAGACACGGACCCAGGCCCUAUGGGGCGCAGCAGGCGAGAAAACUUUGCAAUGUGCGAAAGCACGACAAGGUUAAUCCGAGUGAUUUGUGCUAAACGAAUCUUUUGUUAGUCCUAGAAACACUAACGAAUAAGGGGUGGGCAAGUUCUGGUGUCAGCCGCCGCGGUAAAACCAGCACCUCAAGUGGUCAGGAUGAUUAUUGGGCCUAAAGCAUCCGUAGCCGGCUCUGUAAGUUUUCGGUUAAAUCUGUACGCUCAACGUACAGGCUGCCGGGAAUACUGCAAAGCUAGGGAGUGGGAGAAGUAGACGGUACUCGGUAGGAAGUGGUAAAAUGCUUUGAUCUAUCGAUGACCACCUGUGGCGAAGGCGGUCUACUAGAACACGUCCGACGGUGAGGGAUGAAAGCUGGGGGAGCAAACCGGAUUAGAUACCCGGGUAGUCCCAGCUGUAAACUAUGCAAACUCAGUGAUGCAUUGGCUUGUGGCCAAUGCAGUGCUGCAGGGAAGCCGUUAAGUUUGCCGCCUGGGAAGUACGUACGCAAGUAUGAAACUUAAAGGAAUUGGCGGGGGAGCACCACAAGGGGUGAGGCCUGCGGUUC